rnacentral:rRNA from 1 species
UGCCAGACUCCUACGGGAGGCAGCAGUGGGGAAUAUUGGGCAAUGGGCGCAAGCCUGACCCAGCAACGCCGCGUGAAGGAAGAAGGCUUUCGGGUUGUAAACUUCUUUUAAGAGGGAAGAGUAGAAGACGGUACCUCUUGAAUAAGCACCGGCUAACUCCGUGCCAGCAGCCGCGGUAAUACGGAGGGUGCGAGCGUUAAUCGGAAUUACUGGGCGUAAAGCGCUCGUAGGCGGUAUGUCAAGUCAAGGGUGAAAUCCCCGCGCUCAACGUGGGAACUGCCUUUGAAACUGGCAAACUGGAGUGUGUGAGAGGAUAGUGGAAUUCCAGGUGUAGGAGUGAAAUCCGUAGAUAUCUGGAGGAACAUCAGUGGCGAAGGCGACGAUCUGGCACAUAACUGACGCUGAGGAGCGA